rnacentral:lncRNA from 9 species
AGCCUAGAGAGGUCUGUGAAUGUGGGAGGCAUGGUUGGUGGUAGAGCCAGCAGGAUUUGCCAGUGGAUUGGAUGUAGGACAUAAAGAGCUGAGUCAAGGGUGACCCAAGUGACCGGUGAGCCAUGGCGGCAUGGGGUUGCCAAUGCCAUCGAUAGGACUGAUCUGGGGAACUUGGUUCAGGACAGUUAGCCUUGAGAAGACAAUCGGGCAUUCAAAUGGAGAUUCCUUAUGUUACCAAUGCUGUAAUGGAGACCAAGGAAGGUGAAAAAAAAUCACUGAGAACUAUGUCUAGAUACUUACAUCGCAACACGACAGUGGGAGGAAAAAUUAUGUAUACAUGUAUGUGUAACUAGGUCCCCAUGCUGUACAGUAGGAAAAAAAACAAAAAACAACCACCACCACCACCACCACCACCAAAUCACCUGGUGGUCAUAUUGAUAAGGUAUCAAAAUAAAAACAGGAAGUAAGGCAAGGAAAAGGCAAAAUAAGAACCUUGUCUACAUAUUAUAUCAAAAUAUAUCCUCACUGUGUCACCUCCUCUUUCAUCCAACCUUAAUCUGUUCCUGGAAAUGUGGGGGAGAGAUCAGUCUUCUGGGGCAGAUGUGUGCUCUGGGCGUGAAGCGGUCUCAGGGGCUGAUGGUAGGAGAACGUGUGUGGUGAUCCUGGCUGUCAUUUCACAUCCUCCUGAACAUCCUUUGAUUAUACUGCUUAUUUCUCAGAACAGCCGAGAGGUGGUGGUCCAAACCCUUAUUACCACUCAAAGGAGAGAAGGGAGGCUCAGGAAGGCUGAAGUGGUUCGUCUGAAAUUGCAUAAGUAAUUCAAGUUGCUACCUGGGAUUUAUGCCUUGGAGCUCCUCCAGGCUGGUUGCUCCGCAUCCUCUCCUGCCUGCUGGAAUAUUGCAGCAGGGUCAAAACCCUUUCCUGGUCGUCUUGCCUGGCUCCUCAUGCUGCUUCCUUGACAGACUCCUGAGCCACCAUGGAGCCCCAGGACCCUGGGCUGCCUUACUGAGAGGGAUGGUGUCCACAGAUAUUUGUAAACUGCGAUCCUCUGUGUAAUGUCUUGACGAAACCCUGCAACUAAUGGGGCAAAAGACCCUUUCAUUACCUUGAUAUUAACUGAAUGAAUGAGUGAGUGAGUUCAUGGGCCAAGGUCAAGUUUAGCCUCAGGUGCAUGAAAGCUGUGAAGAGAAGAUAAUGCAUUCUCGUCUUCAGGAAGAAGAGGAAACGUAUUUCUCUCUUUCAUCGGUAGCAAAGUUAUCAACUUGGCAGUUGUCUGAUCUUAUAAAGCUGAGUUGAAACUUCAGUGAGCAUUUAUUGCCUUUUUAAUUUUUGGUACAAUAAUGCAUUUUUAUUUUGUUCUGUAAAGGGUUGGAUGUCUUUGUUCAUCACCUUCCAUAUAUGAAUCUUCUGUCCUAUAUGCAUUACAGAAUGCUUAUAUGAUAUGAAGUGCCUAGCUUAAAUUUGCUGUUGAUAAAUGGUCAAGUGUAAGGAUGAAUUGCUUUACUCACCAAUGAGAACUAAGACCUUGACACCAUCCUGGAAAAUCGUAAGAAUGAGAUUUGGCCUCACAGGCAGGGUAAAAUUCUAAGGAAUAGAACUAACCAUGUGAGCAUAGAGAACAGAAGGGGAAAAGGUAUUUUAAAAGUUUCUCUAUCCAAGGAGUUCCCGUCGUGGCGCAGUGGUUAACAAAUCUGACUGGGAACCAUGAGGUUGCGGGUUCGGUCCCUGCCCUUGCUCAGUGGGUUAACGAUCCGGCGUUGCUGUGAGCUGGGGUGUAGGUUGCAGACGUGGCUCGGAUCCCGCGUUGCUGUGGCUCUGGCGUCGGCCAGCGGCUACAGCUCGGAUUCGACCCCUAGCCUGGGAACCUCCAUAUGCCGUGGGAGUGGCCCAAAGAAAUAGCAAAAAGACAAAAAAAAAAUAAAUAAAUAAAAAAUAAAAGUUUCUCUAUCCAAAGUAUUAAGCACCUUGAUAACUCCAUCCAAUGAAGGACUCAAACACUAGGCUUUUUAUGUUCAGUGAAAAUGUACACCCUGGUGCAGAAAUCCUUGACGGUUUCAAAAGUGACAAUAAUUAUUGUGUCCCCUCACCACCUGGGGAUCUGUGACCUGCUUCCAAUACCAGUGACUUUCCAUGAUGGGGGCUUGGUUUUGCCUCAUUCAUAAAAUAAGGUGAUCAGCGUUAACUGUUGGCAGAACUGUGGAGAGGUGGACAGACACACGGAUACUUGGGUAAAUGUAUCCGUGUGAAAUAAACCUCGGGUAUGGACGUUACAUUUGAGGGGUCGGAGGCCUGAACUCACCCUUCGUAUUUGGCAGAGGUGGAGUUUAGACUCAGGACUUGUCUGCAGCAAAGCCUGUGCUCUCGAUCCCAACUCAUUCUGCUGCAACAGUCUUCGGUGCUCACUCUUCAGAAGAAGUGAAAACUGGAAGGUACACAGCCUUAGCUUUCUCUUAAGAGGAUCAUCUUUAAACAAAAAUGUGGCUAAGGUGCACAUGAGACAGGACUCCAUCCCAUCUAAGACUCACGUGGGUUGCAGAAUCUUCUAGGCAGAUAAGACUUUCAAUGUCACCUGUCCUUCCUCCCUCACUUAAUGAUGUGCUGAGGCCCAGAGAGAGUGACUUGUUCAGCCACCUUCAGCUUGGCAGGGGCAGAGCUGGGUCUAGAACCAACAUCCCUUCAGGGUCUCAGUAUCUAAGAUUGGGGGGGGGGGUCACUUUUUUAUAGAGGUGCGGGCAAAGUUAUGGACAUCUGCAAAGAAGGCACCCCCAAACGAGUGAAAGUAGGAAGCCAUUGCCUCCUCUAGGCCUGAAGCUGCACAGGGCAUGACCAGUCUUAAGAAUAUCCAUUGAGGAUAGGACCUUGGAAAAGGAGGAACCUGACCCUCUAUCUUGCAGGGACACAGUCAUGGCCAGAACUGUGGCACCAGUACAGGGAGAAUAGGAGAAAGACAUCCUCCAACUUCUCUUUUUCUUGUGCUUGUAUCUGUUGCCACUGCCUCCCAUUGGGCAAACCCAACUAGAAGCCAACCUACAGAGAAGUCGGGGUGCUACAGCAUAGAGAGCCCAGCCUCUUGGAACUUGGAUAGGGCAGAGAGGGCAGAGGAUAAAGCUGAGGUGGGGACAAAUGGAGAAGAGUCAGAAUCCUGAAUAUCUCAAUUUCCCGUUUAAUAUUCUUCCUACAUCAUCUCCCCCAGACUCUGGGAAUUGGGUAAAGUAGGUUGAAUUUAAUGCUCUGCCCUAAAGGGUAGGAAGCAUUGAUCCCUUUAUUUUAGGAGUAGAGAUUUUCUAGUCUUCCUUCCUGCAGUGUGAAUUCCUUUCCGCUCACUAAUGGAUGAACCCAAAGUUGACUGUCCAGGUUUUGAAAUUCGUACAUUUAAAUUCCAUUUUUUUCUGAGUACUCUAAGGAGUUCUUUGGAGCUACAGACUGUUAGCAUCCUUCUCAGUCUUUCUUUUUUUUCUUUAUCUCACAUAUGGGUGGUCAAGGGUGUCUAGAUAUAGGGUUUGAAUUUACCCAUGUGACAGAGAUUGGAUAACUUUGUGGGAUCCAGCUUUCUGGGCUCCUGCCUUCCCUGCUUAUAGAAUUUUGUUCCUGGUUCCUGAAUUUCCCACUGGAGCAAGCCAUAUAUAAAGACAGCACAGAAGAUAGAGUGAAAGCGGAGUUGAGGGAAGAGUAUAUGUUUAUUUAUCUAUUGCUUUUUAGGGUUGCACCUGCGGCAUAUGGAAGUUUCCAGGCUAGUGUGCCUACACCACAGCCAUAGUAGCAAUGCCAGAUCUGAGCCACAUCUGUGACCUACACCACAGCUCAUGGCAAUAUCAGAUCCUUAACCUAACCCACUGAGCAAGGCCAGGGAUCAAACCCAUAUCCUCAUGGAUACUAGUUGGGUUCUUUUCUACUGAGCCACAGUGGGAACCCCCGAAGAGUAUUUAUUUUUAAAAUUUAUUUUUCUUUUAAAAAUUUACUAGCUUUUUAGUGGAAAGAUGAUACACGUAACUUCUGUGCAUAAUAUUAUACCUUAUACAUUAUGUAUGGACUUGAUUUUCUUUAAUGCUUUUUUGAGGUUUAUUCUUAUUGAUAGAUGCAUGUUCAUCAGGUUAUUCAUUUUUAACUGCCAUAUAAUAUUCUAGCAUAUGAAUUAAACCGUUUAAGUCUACAUUCCCUCCCUAAGACAAGUUAAGUGGUUAUUAACCUUUCACAAUUAUAAAUAAUGCUGCAUUGAGCAUCCGUGUGCCUGGCUCUUUGUGCAGGUAUGAAGAGCUUAAGGGAUGGUGGGGAAGAACAGGCAAAAAGAAGCGUAUUCCGGCAGAGCGGGCCGCUGAUAAUGCAAAUUCCUAUUUAUAGGUUCAGCAACAUUGAUCGACCAGUUGCUAUGAACGUGGCAUAUUCAAAGGAAGAGGGAAAAACUGAGGUGAAUAAAGAAAAUGUGGGCUUUGCCCUUCCUGAGUGUACACUUUGUUGAAAGGGAUAUUAACUCCAAAUAACUGGAAUUCAGCGUAAGUUUAGAUUGUGAAUACUAUAACGUAGUAUGACUGUGGAAAUAAGAAGAGAAUGACUAAAUCUGCCAAGGGAAAUCUGGGCGACUACCUGGCCUGGGACAGGGAAGAUUAUAAUAAGGAGAAGAUGAAGCAGAGGCAGCAGCACAGAUAGAAGUUACGAAUGCAUGAAAAUGUUCAACACCUGCAGGGAACUAAGUCCAAGGGAAUAGAGGCUGAGUAGAAAGGAUCUUAGAAAUGCUGUAAAUUUUGUAGCCAAUCAGUCGCCUUGGUGGUCUAGAAUGCCACCUACCAAAACUCACCGUUUCACGUGUAGACCCAGUUUAUAGCCAUACCCCUGUUUGUUUUAAAAGAAUUUCUUACUUAGGUCUGAGUUUUUAUCUUCUGUAUUUUAUGUAUCCCCAUUGGGUUUCCAACAUUUUUGCAGGGUGUUGGGGAUUAGAUGGGUUAAAAACAGCAACAGUCAAUAGAUGCUUAAGUAAUAAAGACUAAGAUAUUUUGCCCAUUGCUUUUGUCCUGUAUUGGGCCCGUCUUUCCUGCUCCUCCUCUCCCUCCCCCUCUUCUUUUGCAAUUGUUGUCACAGAGUGUAAUGUACUUACAUAAUUGUAGUUGAUUGCUUUAAUUAUGCCUAUUAAAUGAGACUCUUAUUGCUCAUCACCAUCCAGCCUUCCCUACAUUCCUCUUGCCUUUUCUACUGCCCUGCUGCUCCUGUGUAUCUAUGAGUGGUCCUCUUCAGUGGUAGAAGUUUGGGGCAAUGCUCAAUGCCAAGGAUCAAAAUCUAAUUGGUUCAGAACUGACUUGACAUUUUAAAAAGUGGGAAUAGAUUUAGGUUUCUGGAAAUGUACUUGAAUUUUCCCCGAAAAGCUAGUGUGGCAGAAAUUAUUCCUCUCUCCCAGUAUCAAUAGAUCACAAUAGAUAAGAAGUAUCCCCUUCUUCUUUUUUUUUCCUUCUUCUUAGGGCUGCACCCAUGGCAUACGGAGGUUCCCAGGCUACAGCUGCUGGCCUAUGCCACAGCCACAGCAACACGGGAUCCAAGCUGUGUCUGCGACCAACACCACAGCUCCACAGCUCAUGGCAAUGCUGGAUCCUUCACCCCCGGAGCCAGGCCAGGGAUUGAACCCCCAUCCGCAUGGAUACUAGUCACAAUGGGAACUCCACAAGUGUCCCCUUCUGUCUUUUGCUAUUACAACCCCCUCCCUGGGCAUUAGCGGCACCGAUGGGCGCCCCAGUUGGACACCAUGUCAUUGAGUGGAAAUGACGUGUACAACUUCUGGGGCAUGUUCUUAAAAGGAAUCAGUUCCUUGUCUUUCUCUGGUCUUUAGGGACGUUGUGGGGCCUGGAGCAGUCACUGUGAUACACAGACGGAAACCUGUGUGCAGGAAGGCUGGGCCACCCCACCAGCUGGGACACCCGGGGUUACUCAUGGAGCAAAGCUGCCUGCAGCCCUGGACAGUCCACCUAUGUCUGGUCUCAGACAGACACACUUUGGUCUUAUUUAAACCACUGACUUGUCAGGUUUCUUUGUUAUGGUAGCUUAACCUAGAACCUAGCUAACACGUCUGGUUUUAAAAACAGAGGAUCAAACUUGUCUUUGCAGAACAUCAACGAAAGUGUCAGGUCAGCAGACUUGACUUUUUAGCAACUUUUAAUGCCUUUUUUUCUUUUCCAGGCUGAAUACGUUUUAAUGAAAAUGAUUCUCAUUUCCCCACAAUCCCUACCACGCUCUAUUUUCUUAGAUCUUCUAGAUUCACACAUUUAUAUUAUCCUCCUGACUUCUGUGGGCAUCUGAGCUUGUUGUGCCUGGGAACAAUCCUAACAUUUUUUGGCAAAGCUAAAAAAGCCUCAUUUUAGUAUCUCACCAUAUGAUAAUAAGCAGGGUUGCUUUGCAGCUUGGACACGAUAAUGUAGAUCAGAUCACAACCCACUGACAGUCACUGCGGCCCGAAAAGUAACUGUUACAAGCACCGUGCUGCUGGCACUAUCUUAGUGUUAGAUACGCAUGCCAGAUCUCGCCCACGCGUGCGCCUGGCAGAAGCAGAUAAGAAACCAGAUUGAGUGGGGUUCACCCAGGGGUGCGGAGAUAAAAUAUGCCACAGCUCAGGCUGUAGAAAAGUCUCAGGAUUGCUCUCCGUGUGACAUUACAUUUAAUGGGAGAGUGGGUAAGGAAGCUUGAGAACUCAGACAUUCCAGCCCCUUAAACCAGC